rnacentral:rRNA from 1 species
ACGCCCGGCUCCUUUCCGAACCCGGAAGCUAAGCCGCCUUUGCGCUGAUGGUACUGCGACCGGGGGGUCGUGGGAGAGUAAGACACUGCCGCAA